CCCUAAACGCGAAAACAAAACAAACACGGAAACACCUCAUCACGCACGCCACCUAUAAAUGAAAGCCUCACCUCCUCAAUUCAAGAUACAACGAAACUCCCCAACCUUUGUUAUUCCCUGUCGUUUCGAUUUUUAGGGUUUUCCUCUCAUUUCCUCUCUUCCGCCGCUUCCUCAUCGCAUCUUUAAGAUUUUGUGAGAUUCGUUCUUGUUGGGUUAAAGGUGUUGAAAGCGUGGUUUGUUGUGGCAUAUUAAUCUGAUUU